UACGAAGGGGGCUAGCGUUGCUCGGAAUUACUGGGCGUAAAGGGAGCGUAGGCGGACAUUUAAGUCAGGGGUGAAAUCCCAGAGCUCAACUCUGGAACUGCCUUUGAUACUGGGUGUCUUGAGUGUGAUAGAGGUAUGUGGAACUCCGAGUGUAGAGGUGAAAUUCGUAGAAUAUUCGGAAGAACACCAGUGGCGAAGGCGACAUACUGGAUCAUUA
rnacentral:rRNA from 1 species